rnacentral:lncRNA from 1 species
CCAGACUUCCAUUAGAGGGUCACUUCUCCCCUGCUGUGCGCGGUCUUGGUGACCCUAUAAAUCAAGACUUUGAGUCUUGAGAAAACGACGAAAGAACAAGGAAAACAGCUGGAAUGCAUGUUCACUGGCUGUGCCCUCCAAGACUGGGGAGAAGUUCCUGGUGCUUAAACCCUCAGAGUCUUCGUUCACACAGCUAUUAAAGGAUGCUGCCAGAAGCAGAACCGAAGUUUCCAGACUCUGAUUUUACCACUGCAUCCCCUGCAGCCACUCUGAUUGUUAGUGAGUCCUUGUCUUGAGAGGUCUUCGAGGAAUCCUGGCUCAGCAAAGGGUAUGAGGGAGGUUUGCUACUGAUGGCUUCAGGGGUUUGAGAGGGGCAAGGAUGGCCUGAUGUUCUGCUAUUUGACCUUUUGGCUUACUCUUCACUGCCUUCUAUGAGACUAUAUAUAUUUAAUUGCCCCUGAAUGACAUAAGCAUUAAGUCUCAACUGCACUGAAUAUAUUUGAUCUUGUCUAUAUUAAAUAGAAGGGAAAAAGUUUUUUCAGUUUUUACUUAUUUGUUUUUGACAAAUAAAAACUGUAUAUAUUUAAGAUACCCAAGGUGAUGUUUUGAUAUAUGUAUACAUUGUGAAAUGAUUACAACAAUUAGACUAAUCAACAUAUC